GCCGCAUCUCUGGCAUUGUGUGUUCUCCAACUGCAGUACGCAAGAGAGGUGUUCGUAUGGAGAUCCUUGCAAUCAAUAUCUUGAAGUUAUUCAAUGGGAUCAUGAGAUUGAUACCAGAUUGUGAUCAAAGCCGUCUCCGUAUAUCCUGCUGUUUGGAUUUUUGAUGGCCCAGCAUUUGUGGGAGAAAUGGUGCCUAGAGCCAAGAUAUUGUGAACUGAGAGAGAACUUGUGAAUAUGCCAGUCUUGUUCAGUGUGGUAUGGGAAACAGCCAUUGUCAAGAUUGAGGUUAAAUCUUUUUGUUGGGUAAAUUAGACGUGUUUGUCUGGAGGCAACAUUGCCUGUGAAAACCAAUGGUCCAGUAUUGAGCCUUGGCCAGUUGCAAAUGGUAAUUAGCAGGCAAGGUCUUCACCACAUUCUAAGACAUUGAUACAGGCAGUCAACCUCCCUGCUUCUUAGACAUUUUGUUGAACUUAUUGAAAAUUAUUACAGCGCUUUCUGUCAUGUAGAAGACUUGCCACAAACUGUAGUUAAUUGACCAGUUUGGGCAAAUCCUUUACGUGUUGGGAUGUGCUAAAGUUGCGUUUAUAUCAAAAUGAAGAAGAGUGAUGUGAUCCACGCUGACCUAGUACAGACAACUUGUAAGGCAGAGAAACAACAAGGAAGUUGAAGCCAGGUUUCAGUGUAAUGCAUUCCACAUGCCUGUAGUGGCUUGUGAAACAAUGUUUAUUUCUACUUCCAGAACAGUCAACAUGAAGCGCAUUUUGUGUGUCAGAAUACUAAAUAUUUGCCUUUUAAUUUUGAAUGUAAUCUCUGUCAAGUUGUAUGUAGUAUUAAUUGUGAGGACAUUUAAAAGCAGUUGACAGGCUGGUUUUUGUCUCUUCAUAUUUGUUUGAACCAAGGGGCAUACAGGAUGACAUCUGUUUAGAGACGGUGAAAGUGCACUUGUGAAGAGGAUUUUUUGUACAGCAUACCUUGGUAUCCGAAGGAUUUCCCACAGACUGCAAAUAAGAGUUCAGUCUUGGGAGGUCCUUUGGUUAUGAGUGUGUGCUCAUGUGACACUUGUAAGUGAAGGAAAGUCAACUUCUGGUUUUUCUGAAUUUCUUGAAGUAUUCGUGUUCUGACUACUGAUCAGUGGUUAGUGUCACAGUAUUAUUUCUGUAUUCAGCCUUAAAUUGCUCUGCAUCAUGACUGGCAAUAAAAUGGUGGUAAUUGCUCAGAUGUGGGCCUUUCAUGGAAAGUAUUUACCAUAUAAUUCAACUGCUGUACUCUCUCUCUCUCUCUCUCUCUCUCUCUCUCUCUCUCUCUCUCUCCCUCUCUCUCCCUCUCCCCCCCCCCCCUCCCCCUCUAUAUUCUUUAACCAUUUCAAUAAGAGCCUCUGUGCAUGGCCUGCAUGCAGUUACCUAGCACCUUAUUUGGUUGAAAACUAAUUGUUAACAAGACUUGAACAUGGUGAAACAAAUUCAGUCACCACUGUGAGCAGCUCACGGCCAUAUAGCACAUUUACUGGUCUCACUAGCUUUGAUAAACAUAUUGUUUUCCUCAAUAUAUAUUCUCUCUACAUUAAUUCAAUAACAUUUUUUCAUUUGUAUGAAAAUUUUUACACGUAUGUAGCAUUAUUUUCAGCCUUUAGAUACGCUGUUGUACUUUUUUGAGCCUAAUGUGAAUUUUGGAAUUUGUUGUCUGUCCUGUUCCAUCUGCUGUAAACUUCUCUAAUGGUAAAUGGAAGUUCUCAUUUUGGGAAUUGGCUAUUAACAGAUUUUGUUUCGGGAGUCCCAACCCCAUUCCUCACACUAUUCAUUUCAUAAGCUACUGUUUGUAAACUUCGUUGAUACUAAAUGGAAGUUUCAAAUUUUAGAUCAUAUUUAACCUUCCUCCUUAAACCCCCCCCCCUUCUUUCCAGUUUUUAUAAUUUAAUACUUUUUACUACAUUCAUGUUAAAAUUUCUAUGAAUUCUUACUUUUACAAGGUGGCUUUAUGGUUCCAUUUCUACACACGUUUUUAUAUCUGUUCAGUUUUAUCAUUUUAGAUUAACUGUGGGCUUAUGCAAGACACAGUUCUCAUCUCCGUUUUAAUUUACAUAGUGUACUCAAUGCAGACUGUGCACAUUUCGUAUGUACACACAGUUAGUGCUCUCUGUACAUAGCUUUCCUCAGUGCUAGGACCCAUAAAUUUGGGUAGCCAGCUUUUACUAAUUGCCAUAUGCAUACUGUUUUAACCCAGAUGCCAUGAUUGUGUUUUAAUAAAUGUAAGUCAACUUACACGUCAGCAAGACUCUUACAUUACAGGGCCAUUAUACUUGGGAUUUAAUCUACAUACCUGAAGUGCCAUGUUGCCGGAGUCUACAUCAAGGCUGUGAUUAUUUGUGUUCAUAAAAUGAGUGUCCCAUAUGAUCAGCCAUUUGAUUAUAUUCUGUGUACAUUAUCAACAUGUGAUGUAACAAGUGAGUGCACUUAUCUUAAAAUAUUUGUCUGUAACUGUUACUUUUUGUUUAAAAUACUUCUGUAACCACCAAUGUAACUUUUAGGGCCAUUAUAUGUUCUGAAGAAGACAACUUCAAAAUUGUCAGAACCUAGGUCAGGGGUUCCAGUAAGCUUUUAUUUGCAGCUGGGUGGCUGUAGUACAACGUCUCAAAAGUUCAUGCCAUAGAGUUGUUGAAUUUACAGCCAUGUUUAAGACUUUAAGAUGUCACAAUUUCAAACAAUAUUUCAUUUAUUUACACUGUAAUACUGUAGUCACUUCUGUAGCAUAAACAUUAAGAUGGUAAAACCAAAAGGAGUUAAAUUAUCAGUUAACAAAUGAUGUAUGCAACUGCUACCACCUUCAUGAGCUUCAGUAAGCAGUGAAGUAACCACUUUUACUAGUACUGAAGAAAUGCAAUUCAGAAACGCUAUUUCUUUCAAGUAUUCUAAAUAAGGUAUUAAUUACUGUACUUUCUGUCUUGAUAUAGAAAUUGUGUAA